GAUGAACGCUAGCGGGAGGCCUAACACAUGCAAGCCGAGCGGUAUUGUUUCUUCGGAAAUGAGAGAGCGGCGUACCGGUGCGGAACACGUGUGCAACCUGCCUUUAUCUGGGGGAUAGCCUUUCGAAAGGAAGAUUAAUACUCCAUAAUAUAUUGAACGGCAUCGUUUAAUAUUGAAAGAUCCGGCGGAUAGAGAUGGGCACGCGCAAGACUAGCUAGUUGGUGAGGUAACGGCUCACCAAGGCGAUGAUCCUUAGGGGGCCUGAGAGGCGUGAUCCCCCACACUGGUACUGGGACACGGACCAGACUCCUACGGGAGGCAGCAGUGAGGAAUAUUGGUCAAUGGGUGCAAGCCUGAACCAGCCAUCCCGCGUGAAGGACGACUGCCCUAUGGGUUGUAAACUUCUUUUGUAUAGGGAUAAACCUACCCUCGUGAGGGUAGCUGAAGGUACUAUACGAAUAAGCACCGGCUAACUCCGUGCCAGCAGCCGCAGUAACAC
rnacentral:rRNA from 1 species